CUACGGGCGGCUGCAGUGAGGAAUAUUGGUCAAUGGGCGAAAGCCUGAACCAGCCAUGCCGCGUGAAGGAUGACGGCCCUAUGGGUUGUAAACUUCUUUUGUAAGGGAAGAAACCACUCUACGUGUAGAGUUCUGACGGUACCUUACGAAUAAGCAUCGGCUAACUCCGUGCCAGCAGCCGCGGUAAUACGGAGGAUGCAAGCGUUAUCCGGAUGUAUUGGGUUUAAAGGGUGCGUAGGCGGAAAAUUAAGUCAGUGAUGAAAUCCUGCAGCUUAACUGUAGAACUGUUAUUGAUACUGGUUUUCUUGAAUGUAGUUGAGGUAGGCGGAAUGAGUAAUGUAGCGGUGAAAUGCUUAGAUAUUACUCAGAACACCGAUUGCGAAGGCAGCUUACUAAGCUACGAUUGACGCUGAGGCACGAAAGCGUGGGGAGCGAACAGGAUUAGAUACCCCCGUAGUC
rnacentral:rRNA from 1 species